AUCAGCAGAGGCCCCGCCCCCAGCCGCCGCCUCCCGCCCCUGCGCGUGAACGUAGCGGCUUCCCACGCGCUGUGGGGUGUGAGGACCCCAGUCGCUGGGCUGCCAUUCUGGAGCGCCACGAGAGGUGCUACGGGCGAGCGCGAGCCCCCGAGGGCGGCUGGAAGCCCCGGACUGUUGGUAGAGUGGAAGGGGAUAGAGAUCGGUGGGGCGAGCGUCCUCCGUGGCCAGUCCUCCCCUCACCGCCCUUCCUCAGGUAUCGGGAAGAGUUGCCAGCGGCCAUCAGGGGCAGAGCAGAGAAGCAUGUGACAGGGAGCUGGAGCGGCUGCUGGCCUGGCAGCUUGACUGUGAAGGGCGGCCCGCCCCGAGGGCAGGGCCUCCGUAGCGCGGGUCUUCAUUGGGGCGUGGCAUCGGCGGGGCGGGUGUCUCCAGUGGGGGCGGGGCCUCCCUGGUGGGUCCAGCACCCCAGGCACCCUGACCUGGCCUCCCACAGAGGGGCGCUUCCGGCCACGUCUGCAGCAGCUGGUGGCCACCAAUCCCCCUGAGCUGGUUGUGCACUGUUCGACCGCCACCUUCUGCCUCCUGCCAGAUGUGGGGGCUGCAGUCACCGAGCUGUGUGCCCUCUGCGGUGUGGGCCCACCACAGCCUCGGUCCUGGCAGCUGGAGCUCCAGAGAUGGAGGCCUUCAUGUCAGAUGAGGCGGUGGCCACAGUGCCCGGCUGGCCGGCCCCACAGUACACCCUCAGCCAGUGCCUCAGGACAGUGGACUCCCUACCUAGUGGAGACAGCACUGUGGACCUGGGCUGUGGGGCAGAGGCUGUGCCCAGACCUGCUGCCCAACCUUGGCCCCAGCCUGGCCACCCACGAGGAUGCUAGGCCAGCCAAGAAGCAUGGAACCCAGGCCGAGUAAACUUGGCCAUGGCCCAGGCCUGCUCACCUGCCACAGAACCUCAGGCCUCCGGGUCUCACUGGACGGCAGGGAGGCUGAAGAGGAGGCUGGCCACUACGGGAGCUCAAUAAACACUUCCCAAACUCACGCCUGAUCACACACCCGGCCUGACCACACACCUGGCCUGACCACACGCCCGGCCCCCAGCCAUCCCGCGUGCCCCCAGCUCCCACAGACACAGCACCUGUGGCCCAGGAACAACUCCCACGCCUGACCCCAGGUGCAGAGAUGCACAAGGAGGGAAGUCCAGGCCCCCGUGGUGGGGAGGGCCGUCGCGGUCUGUGCAGCAGGUGUGGGGGCCCUGACGAGUCUCCAGAGCCCGGGACAGCCCCCUGGUGCUGUGUAAAAUAUUUAUUAAUUAUCCAAAAAGGCUCA
rnacentral:lncRNA from 1 species